ensembl:lncRNA
ACCUGAGGAGGAGGAGGAGGAGGAGGAGCAGUUUAUUAGGAGUAGCCGGGGUCAUCAGAGUUUUUGGACAAAAACAGUAAUAACUUUAUUUAAACAGUUUACAGAGACACGAGCCAAACAAAAACCAUAGAAGAAGAAACAUCAGCGAAAUAAGAGAACUACAAAAUAUAAAAACUACAAAGUGACAUCAGUCCUGAGCCUCUUCAAGUACAUCAAGUACAUCUGCAGGAACAUCUGCAGCUUCUCGGUUGCUUGGAGCUCUUAUUUGAACCUUCAGAUGUGGCUCUGUUCCUCUGAUCUUCGUACCUCAGCCUUUCCUCCUCGUUCCCUUCAUUAAGAACGGCUUCCUGAUGGGCUAAAGGUCCAAAUCAUCUCCCGGGUCCUGUGUCGGGUCUUCAGAACCCGUUCCUCUGCUGUGGAGAUUUUAGGCCUCACACUUCUUCUUCUGUCCAGCUUCCUAAGAAGUCGAAGCGCACCACGCUGAGAUAAGCAGAGCUUUCAGCUGACAGCUCUCUGGGAGUCGCACUUUCUCCCUUAUCUUUCCUGCUUGGCUUUCAUGUCCUUUGUAUAGUCUCGCUUAUUCUCUAACCCUAAGAGAGUCUCCCAGACUUGUUCUCUAAAAACCUAAAGAAGAAAUAUGGAUUUGAUCAACUGGUCCCUUAAUGGAAUUGAUACCCUUGGGAGAGCCCGAUUGUCCUGCGGAGACGUUUGCUGCCGGAUACUCGAUGGUCGGUUGCGUCGUGUGUCUGACGACGCUCGAUGGAGGACAAUGAACGACAUCUACCAAUUCAGAACCACGAUAACAGAGUUCUGGCUGAUUGGAGCUGGUUCAGCUUAUUGAAGAACAAGAAGCGGCUACAGCUGUUCAAAAUCCCACCAGGCUGGCCGACAUGACAGACGAUGGGCAGGGCUGCGAGUAAGACUGUGUUUAUUGAACGCAAUAUGGAUACGAUCUUGGAGAAGAACGGGAAUUGAGAGACCUGGUGACCAGUGACGGACAUUAGACCAACUGUAAAAUUGGAAGCAGUUUGUUUGCCCCAAAACAGCUGCCAUCUCCAUCAUGAAGAUGCUCAGGGCACAAGCUGACGGGAAUAACAAAACUCUCCUUUAGAUAAUAAGACUGUUUGUUGUGACUCUCUCCCUCCUCAUUCAAGGCCGCCCGUGUCGACCGAAGAUUGUUGACUUUUGCUUAACCUUUCUCUCGGCUGAACACACGCAUGCACACGCACACACACACACACAUGUGCAUGUACACUGACACAGAGCUUCAUGGAUUCAUUAAAGAAACGGGAACGCUGACGUGUUUCUGUGACGGGAAACAACGGGUCAGAGGGGACGUGAGACGCUGCAUGUAGAGGUAACUCUGUAUGUGAAGUUGGGGUUUUGAAAACAUGUUUAGCACAAUCUUGUGUCGGUACAACUGUUUGCUUGUGUUGGGAACAUUUUGCUUUUUGCAUAAAGUUGGCUGAUGGCAGCACGUGAACAUCUGCUUUGCAGGCUCGAUGAGGAACAGCUGCAGACUCCAGCAUGUCGGUCUGACACAGUCCUCGUUUAUAAAGUAUAACAUAAACUAAUGUGAGCCUGUGAGCCCGGCCAACCAACCGCGUGACGUCACACUCCGUGCUGACAGAAGAUGGCGCUGAACAUGUUUUUAACACUUGAAGCACUGAUUUCUUAAAGCCAGCGUCACAGACAGAGUGACAGCUGUGGGAGUGUCUGAGAGCAGGUCCGUGGGGUAAAGGAGGUGUGCACCACUGAGGGCUGACGGAGGCCACUCAGUGACUUCUUCAUGACCUCUGUGGUUGCGUGCUGUACUUCUGGAUUACCAAAACGCAAGUUUAGAAGGAAAGUGACACACCUGCUUAGCCCCACCCCGUCAGUGAGGUCACAGUUUCAGGUGAGGUCCUCAGGUGUGCUGAUGGUGCUGAUGUUGGGUUUUUUUUUUUCAGAAGCGGCUCUGUUUGGAGGCGGAGCUCCAGAUGUCCGACUGUCCAAUGGAGACGUCGCAGAGCAGUCCUGCGACCAAUCAGCAGCCGGAUCAACAGGUACGGCCCACACCUGUUCUGCUCUGCUGUCCGAGGUGUCUCAGAGGAGAACCGGGUCACUUCAACCACAUCAUGGGCCUCUGAAGCUCCACCCAUUCUCCUGCAACCAGCCGUCCAAUCACAUUGAUGCUUCAGGUGCUUCACUAAAAUGGUGCUGCUGGAAGAUGUCAUCAAGGCCCCACCCCACCUUCACAUCGUUGUCAAGGAGACGGUUUAACGUUUCCAUCCAGUGAUGCAUUCAGGACCAGCAGUACUCCUCAGACUUAAGUUCUGAAAUCUCUGAUGUCCUUGUAUCCCUGAACACACCACUGAGUGUGAGCGUUUACCUGAGCUUUAAGCCCACCCCCUCUCCUGUGUGAUAUGUGCAACAGUCCAAUCAAUGAUCAAUAACUGUGAUUGACGUGGUGGUGCGUUCACUGUCUCCGUUUAAAGGGCUUUCACACGGUGAAGACUUGUGAUGUGUUUACAGGAAAAAUGCCAGUAGAAUAUUUUUUAACUCCAGUAUAGAACCGACUGAAAGGCUUAACGAGGUGUUAAUGAGAGUUUACUAUAAGGGGAAGGAAAAUCCAUGUGGUUUUUCAAAAUAAGAGUCUUCGUGUCUGUACAUUUCUAUUUUUCUGAGGCAGAUUUGUAUAUUUUUUACUCUGAAUUUGACUGAAUGUAAAAGCAGCUCCCUAUUUUUGAUGACAUCACUUCCGCUAUCUGAGGCCAGCAUUUGUACUGAUUUCAGAAUAAAAGCUUUGACUGUGAA